rnacentral:rRNA from 1 species
UACGUAGGGUGCGAGCGUUGUCCGGAAUUAUUGGGCGUAAAGAGCGCGUAGGCGGUCCGGUAAGUCGGUUGUGAAAGUCGGGGGCUCAACCCUCGGAUGCCGAUCGAUACUGUCGGGCUAGAGUCCGGAAGAGGCGAGUGGAAUUCCUGGUGUAGCGGUGAAAUGCGCAGAUAUCAGGAGGAACACCAAUGGCGAAGGCAGCUCGCUGGGACGGUACUGACGCUGAGGCGCGAAAGCGUGGGGAGCGAACAGG